AGAGAUUUAGGCUAAAACAGACCAAGGGCCUUCAAAGCCCCAAGUAAGUGAAAUCCACUUAAUCUCUG
rnacentral:tRNA from 1 species